GCUUCAAUCCCGUCGUCGGUUUUGAUUUUCUCAUGUCAAUCCCGUCAUCGGUUUUAGUCCCUUAUACGUCGCCUCUAUCAUCGGUCGGACUUGACUGGCGCCCUCUUUGAAAUAUUUUCCAUCUUUCCAAAACUCUCUAUUACUCCACAAUUGACGUUUAGUUGGAAGAAUGUCUGCAAGCAGACGAACGAAAGAGAGGGAAAAGUGAAGGCGCAUCGGUCGAUUUGCAAAGCCGAGAUGGUCUCCAACUUCGAGGUCGAACUACGCAAAUGAAGGGGAAGCGAAGCCGGCGAAGCGCACCACCGACGGUAGUAGCAGAGGACGAAAACUGCAAUGACGACAACAGCAAAUGGCGGUGAAAAGGUGUUCGGUGGCUGUUGUGGAGCUAGAAGGGGAAAACAGUGGUGUGGCGGGGUGGGUCUCGGUCUGUGGGAUAGAGACGGACUGGCUCCUCCGACGAUUGCAGCAAUAGGUAGAUCAGCAAUGGGUACAGGAAAAUAUGAGCUCCUGUUAAGUUGUUGCCUUCUUCCGGAGGGCAAAUCGGUAAAUUAUCACCACCUUCUUCUUUUUAUCCAAAUUCAAAAAUGUUUAGGUUAGAGUUUGGAAAUGGUAUGUUUAGUGGUAUAGAGCUCAAGAAAAUCAUGACUAAUGAACAGCUGCACUACAGUCUCCACCGUUGAUCCCACCUGAAUCGACUGUAACUGUAGCGGUUCCUUUUUGCAGUUGGUUGCCCUUCCGUUUCAGGUAUAUAAAAUUCUCAUUUUUAGGGGUUUGCCCACCAACUACUGAUGCUAAUUUUCCUUUUUGCACAUGGCUAAUUAAACUGCAUAUACUGUACUGAUGCUAUCAGUCAAUUCAACUGAUUUUAUACAACUGAUUAUAUCAGCCAAUUCAAAUACAAUGCAAUUUUUUUUUUUUAAAUAAAAUUGACUGAUUCUAUCAAUAAAAAAUAACUUUUUUAUCAUUAAUAGUUUGUGACUGAACUGUCAAUUUUGUUGAAAGACCAAUUUGCCCCUGUACCCAAAUAUGCCACAGUACAGUAAAAUGGGACAGUGUAUACACUUUUUUUUGUUCAAAUUAAUUUGCACCUGUACCGAAAUAUGCCACUCAAUACCUUUUCACAUUUUCCAGUUUGGCAAUCGAUAAUUUUAACAGUAUGAUCACCACUGUAAAUCCCAAAACAAGUGAUUUCAAUAUAAAUAUAGUUAAAGAAAUGCCACAAAAGAGCAAAACAAAGACUACUAACAACAUACUGAGUAGAAGCAAGAAUUUUCCCAUCUGCACUAAAUGCUGCUGCAAUGGUUGACCUAGGAGAAGGGACCAAAGGACAAUUUUAUUUGGCUGAUAAACAUCACAGGGACUCAGCUUCCACCCUGGGAACAUAAAAACAAAUAACUAAUCAACCACUGUGGCUAAUCUACUCCUUUUAUUCAGAGGCAUUAUGAAUGACAUUAUAAGAAUAUAAUAGAUGUACCAUGAAAGAAGUUCACAUCCUGAGUUCCUCACUCUUUCACUUUUAGGUUUAACAAAUGACUGAUGUUUAUGGUUAGAAACUUCUCCCCACUGCCUUUUUGGCAAGCAUUUUGCUGUUGUAGGAGCUAUCUCCCUUCCUGCCAACAGAUGAAGCACAUUUCUAUCACUAAGAAAAAUUGUUUGUGAGAUGGCUGGUAUCAAAGUACAUUUAUUGCUAAUAUAUAAUGGAAAGUUCUGCUAGCCAUCAAUCACUAACAAAUUCAUUUGUUUGCUUAAGCAUUAUAAGACAUAACAUUAUAAGAAACAAAAUAAUUGAAGAUCGCCAACUUCAAAGUUCAAUUAAAUAACAAAAUUAUUAUCAGGAACUAAUCUGAGAAGACAUCAAAUGUGCAAGCAACCAAAAUAUGAAGCACAAACGAGCAGAAUUUUGGAUUUAGUCCGUUACUGCUUAUGACAGAGUUAGAGAUUAAUUGCAAUUUUUUUAAAAAGUUGACUGAUAUUGGCAGUAAAAAAAAUGCGUGGAAUGAAUCUUACAAGUGGAGAAUUCAGUUUCGUAUGAAUUUUUAGCGUUGGAGCAAUUGAUAGCUGCAUGGUAUGUCGGUCUUAGUCUUAGAUAAUGAUGUGAUAUAAUUUCAUUGUGGAAAGUUGAACUGGAUGGGAAGAUGGAUGGGGCUGUUGAGACCUGCUGUAUAAUCUCUUUCAAUUUAGCAAUGUACAUUUUUUUUAGCAUACUACAACACUUUGAUAUCUUUUCUUAUUAACACAUUGUCCUGUGAAAAUUCUAUCCAAUUAUUGGAUUGUAUUUUCAAAAUUUUCUUAUUAUAACAUUUACACUGUUUGUAAAUGGGCAAAUCUCAUACAAUAGCAGCGUACUUUAUUGUGGCUAACAACUUAGGCAAUGUACUUUACUUUGACACAAAAACAACACCUUCCGUCCCCCGCAACGCGGGGGGAAACUUUCUAGUUAAUAUUAUUAAUAUGUUAAUUAUGUACAUAAUAACCUCCUUUUUAUGAAUUCUUAUAAUUCUUAUAUUUAUGAUGUAUGCUCAUCAAGGAAAUCAUUUUAUUUUAUAUUGAAAUAACUUUUAAAUAUCAUCAUUACGUUUCACAUCGAUACUAGUAAUCAUUUGGGAAAUUGAUUAUCAAUUUCAUAUUUAAUAACAUUAAGUUUAUACUUAAUUAUUUUUUUAAUCAACUCGUAUAAUAUAUGAAUUUGCCAACUAAAAAGUAAAUUAUUCAUCAUUUACAAAUUUUCAUAUUUAACUUUGUUAAAUUAACUUGUGUAAUAUAUACGCAGGGCCGGCCUAAUGCAUGUGCGGCAGCCCAGGGCAUCAAUUUUUUGGGGGCAUAAUUCUAAUCCUGGUUAGCGUGAGUAUAUGUUCAAAAUUCAUCUCAUUCUUUUAAUUUUGUGGAUCGCGUAUCGUAAUUUCAUAGGGGAGCUUGAGUUGAAGGCGGCAAGCAAAAAAACUAGGAGGAAUGGACGCGUAUGGUAGAACAGAAGACGAGGAGACAUGUCAAUUCAUUCUUCACGCCCUUAACCAAUCGACAAUAGGAUAUUCACUAGAGCGAUGCGAAUUCCAAGUUGUCUUUUGGCAGUAUAAAUCGCAAAUCAACAGCUCUAUCACAACAACUCUCACAAUUUUGGUCUGUGGUCUACAUUUUUUUUUUCUAUAAAUCUGGUUAUAUUUGUUCUUGUCUUCUCUCUACAAAUCUGGUUAAUGGAGACAGUUUUCGAUUGUUGUAAGUUAUUUCUUUUUUAGUUAUGUGAGCUCUAUGGAGUGUAAUCAAUUUUUUUUAUUUCUUUUAAAUGGUUUUGCAAUUUCUGAUUCUGUUAUUAUUGUUAUAUUCAAUUAGUAACUUAUUAUAAUCAAAUGUUUUUUUUUUGUAAUUUAAUUAGAGUGUAAUCAAUUUUUCUUUUUAGGAACUAAAGCUUAAAGUUAAAUUUAUGUAAAAACAUCCUUUAUAAUCACUCAAGUUCUUAGAGUCGGAUUCUCAAUGUUCGUGAAAGUUUUUUUUUGGGUUUUUGACAGUUUUGCCCAUGGGCUCUUUCAAGUCUCAACAACUAUUUUGAAGGUCCACAUGGUUUUUUUGGCAUGAUGCAUCGGCUUUGUCUUACUGUUGUGUUGCUAUUACUGGGAUUUUGACGCUUUUAUCCUUGCAUUUGAAAUCAUUUAUUUUUAGUGUUUUGUUGCUUCUGUGUAGCUUCCCUGGUUUGUAGUCUUGUUGGUAGUAGCCUUGUGUUUGUUCUCUUUUCCAUCUUCCUGCACAUGGUUUUUACUCAAAUGAUUUGCUUGUCAUUCAAUUAGAAUCCAACAUAGUUAAAUCUCUUUGUUUUGUUUUGUUAUUUUGAUUGUAUGAUUGUGUCAUUCUAGGAGAAUUAUGUUAUUACCCUCCAAAUCAUUGAUUACUAUUGAUUUUUACCAAAUAUAUCAAUGAGAUAGUUGAGAUGUUGACUUUUGUUUCUUUGAGUACCAUUUAUUUUUAGUCAAUAUAUGGCUAGAAAGAGAACACAAUACCUUAUUUUUUGUUUAUUCAGUUGUUUUAAUGCAUUCUUUUUGUAAUUGGCAGGUUGUGUAAGAGAAUAUACUAUUUUAUUUGUGCAAGAUUGAAAUACAUUGACGAGUUCAAAUUCAAUACAUAAACAUGGGAAAGGAUCAAUGCUUUGCAUGGGUGAAGCAAAAAUCAUAAAGCGUACUUAAUUUGUGAAAGAUGGAAAUACAUUGACGAGUUCAAAACAUGGUCGGAGAACCAUAAGUUACAUACUCAUAUCAUGAAUAAAUAGAGAUUUGAUAAUUUCUAUCAGUUCUUCUCCCACGUUUGUGAAAUGGUUUUUAUUUUCGUAUAAUACAUCUAUCACCCGUGCUAAGUUGAUAACACGCGUCAGUAGAGGCAUUGGAACAUCUUUACAUAUGAGGGUCUCAAGGGAUAUAUCUUUCCAUGCAUCUUCGACUUGCUUAUACAGCAAGUCAUGGACAUACUCCUCGGUGACAUCAUAUUGCUUCAUGUAACUUUCAACAAGAGAUGCGACAUAUAAAGAUAAGAUGGGGCAUAGAUCACAGUUGCAGAAAGAUUACUUAACCUCAGGUUAAACAAAAUAUGAAAAUACAUAUAAAACGAGGAAGUGCUUUGCCUAUGGUACCUUGUGAGAGGCAAUGUCAUCUUUGAGUCUACAAAUUACACAUGCAGCUUUGACAAUAGGAGGAUCCGUGAGAACCCAUUUGAACGACUCGUCAGAGACAAUAUCCCCCAUGCCAACAAAAGAUGCUGCGGUAAGCAUGCUAUAACCACCACUUUUGAAUCUACUUGACAUGUUCUCCUCUAUAGUCGGUAUGUAACCCUCGUUAACCCACUUUGCUUCGGACAUGUAGCUUUUAAUAAACUCUUUCAUCUGUAGGCAUCAACUACUUACAUCUGAAAUUAUCUUAACUAAAAAGAUUAUAAGAAAUGACAGCUGUUGAAACUUACAAGCUCUUUGGCAUAGUUGACACGAUAUGCAUUUCCCUCAUCUGCCAUGAUUUCUUCCAUUUCUUUGUAAACAUCCAAGAGUCCUUGGUAUAUUGGUUUCAUGUAGUUUGGAAGCAUAUCUAAGCAUGUAGUCGACCACCUAUAGUUAUUUUACAAAUUUCUUGGUUAAUUUGGUCAAGUUAUUCGGCUUAAGGACUUAAAUGUGCUUAUUUAAGUUCAUCUUUCAUGUGCAUAUACCUUUGAACUGUUUCGGUGAAUAUUUCAAGCUCUUCAAAAAUACCAUAAGCAUCAUAAGUAUCAUCAAUCAAGGUUGACAUUGCCAACACUUUUGUUAAGAAAAUUCUAGCACGUGAAUAUUGUGGCUCAAAGUAUACACCUAAUGCCCAAAAGUACAAUUCAACCAAUCGGUCCCGUGUAUAAGGUAUCUUGUUCGGUACAUCAAAACCUUUCCACCACCUACAAUAAUAAUUAUUAAUACACAUGGAGAAGACUAAAAUAUCGACACAUUGAUAUAUGAAACUAGAGAAGAAAGAGGUGUAUACUUGGAAAGUUCACUAAGCUCUUUCUUGUGUAGGGAUUGAAGUAGAUUGAACCCUAACUUUGAAAGUUGAAGUAAAGACUCAUUACAAGAAGCUUGUUUUUGGUAGAAAGGAAUGUAGUGUAAUGCCUCAAGUCUUGGCAACCUUCUCAAUAUGGGAUGUUUUAGUGUCUCCUGUAUGUGUAUUGAAAGAGUAGAGUUACACCGAACAGGAUCCUUUGCUAGUUUUUCAAGAUGAGUUUUUGUGAAAAGAAGAGCUUCGUCUAGUACAACUUCUCCUUUCACUCUCAUAAAUGUUGCCUCAUAUAACUCAAGCAUCUCAUGGAUGUCAUUGGUCAA